AUCACUUCUAGACCUUUGGUUAAGAUCAAGUGUAGUAUGUAAAAUUAUCAGUUUAGUAUCCGAUAUGUCAUCUGAGGACAACAUAUUAAAUGGACUUUUGGACAGGCUCUUCCUCUAACCUCUCCAUGCACCAGCUUGGUACUGUAAUACUUCAGAGAGUCAUGCCUCACUG
rnacentral:snRNA from 1 species